rnacentral:lncRNA from 1 species
AUGGCCUCAGCAUCUGUGGGACUCCACCCUGGAACCGGGCACUCUGGGUUGGGCUGUGGCCAUGGGUUCCCUCAGGCUGGGAGGCCAUUUCUGGGGAGGCGAGGUCCUGCCUCCUCUCCAACAGCCUCAGUCCGCUGGGCCCGAUGGGGACCCUGCACCACUGACCCCGAGGACCCUGGCAAGCAGGCAAACCACACUGACUGGCCAAGGGGGGCCCGGGUGCAGAGCCAGCAGAGACGGAUGGCGCAGCCAGAGUGGAGGCAGGCAGGGAGCCAGGGGGCACAGGGGACGGGACACUCCUCAUCUGGGGUGUCUGGGACUGCCCUGGCACUACUUCUCACCCCCCUGCCCCAUUCGGUCCACCCUGCACAUCUGGAAGUGGCCCUGAAGCUCGCGGCGGGUGGGGGGGUGCACGGCCGGGGCUCCACUGGCCACAGACCUGAAAUCACGGAGGAGCCCUGCCAGGCGGCGGGGCCCUGGCCUCACUGUGUCCAGACCCUUCCUGUCUCCCUCACGGGCUGGAUGAAGCCAGAGGCCCCAGAGGAGCCCCCCAGGCCACCCCCUGUCUGUCCACACUGGCCGUGUGUCUCAGAUGGAGCCUCUAAUGCACGCGAGGCCCCGGCCCCUCAGGACCAACCUCCCCCAGUCCCCGGGACCCUGAGCCCCAUCCUGGUGCCCGGGGGUGAAGUCUGGCCAUGGAGGAGCAUGCAGGGCAGUGGCCGAGGGAGUGGAGGGGCCCGUGCCUGCCGAGCCCCCUUCUCCAGAGAGCCAGAGCAUCAGCCUGGAGCCCGCAGGGCCGGGGUCCCCUGGGCGGGCAGGUGGGGUCCCCGGAGCAGGCCAAGCCAGAGGGAGCCCUGGGGGGCAGGGAGAGCCACGGCCGAGCCGCCUGUCUGGGUGAGAAUAGGAGGUGGGGUGGGUGCGGGGGGCAGGAGUGGGGCCCGUGGAACUGGCGUGGGCGGCAGCAGGACAAGGGGUCAGGCAGGCUGGCCGGAGGGCGCUGCUCCUCCGCAACAGCUCCGGCUGGCUCGGGCCGCGGGCAGCAGGCACAGUGCUCUCCGGUCCCCCGACACCCGGCAGCACCCGGGAGCGGCCCCUGCGACCCACAGCUGGGCAGGCAGGCACAGGGCGCUGGGCUGCAAGGCCCCGGCCCUCUGCUUCUCACCUCCUCCUCCAUGCGGCCCGUCCAGCCCCUCGUGGCGUCCGUGGCAGGGGGGCAGCACCAGGCUGCUGCAGGGCCAGGCGCCCGGUCCCCAAGCCUAG